UAUGGAAUCUAGCAAAGUUAUGGUGGGCUCACAUUUUUUUGAGGCAAUUUUUUCUAGCCACAUGGAAACAUAAGUUAAAAAAAAACACUAGGCAAAUAAGUUUUUUUUAAUGGAAACAUAAGUUUGUCACUCAUGUUUCCAGGGGGGGCGGCCCAUAAGCCCAACUCUGGCUUAUCCUCCCCAUCAUCAUCCCAUCCAGAAAAACGUAUCCACAAUUCUUGCAACAGGGAGGCUGGUGGCGGCCGGCUGCCGGCUGCCGGCUGCCGGCGAGCGAUUCCCCCGGCGUCCGUCGCACUUGGGCAGCUCCCUCUGGAAUUAGCCGGCGGCUAAGCGAGCUCCUCGUCUUGCCUCGCGUCCCCAAUCCUCUGCUCUGCUCUGGCGAGGGACUCCGGCGGGACGGGAGCUCUCUGCCAUGCCAUGAAUAAGCAUCUCUGUGUUAGAAAGAGCUUACUAGUACUGAUAUGAGGGUAAUACUAGGAAGUAUGGAGUAUGGAGUAUGUAUGAGGGAAAUACUAGUACUGAUAUGGAAUGCACCCUGGAAAAUAAUGAAGCGUGGAAACGCAGAAUAAAGCUCCAUUUGAUUGUUAAAAUGUCAAAAUGCAAAAAAUACAGCUCCAUUUGAUUCCGGUAUGC